rnacentral:rRNA from 1 species
CCUACGGGGGGCUGCAGUAGGGAAUAUUGCUCAAUGGGGGAAACCCUGAAGCAGCAACGCCGCGUGGAGGAUGAAGGUUUUAGGAUUGUAAACUCCUUUUGUUAGAGAAGAUUAUGACGGUAUCUAACGAAUAAGCACCGGCUAACUCCGUGCCAGCAGCCGCGGUAAUACGGAGGGUGCAAGCGUUACUCGGAAUCACUGGGCGUAAAGAGUGCGUAGGCGGGGUAAUAAGUCAGAUGUGAAAUCCUGUGGCUUAACUACAGAACUGCAUUUGAAACUGUUACUCUGGAGUGUGGGAGAGGUAGGUGGAAUUCGUGGUGUAGGGGUAAAAUCCGUAGAGAUCAAGAGGAAUACUCAUUGCGAAGGCGACCUGCUGGAACAUGACUGACGCUGAUGCACGAAAGCGUGGGGAGCAAACAGGAUUAGAUACCCGAGUAGUC